GCAACGCGAAGAACCUUACCAGGACUUGACAUCCUUUGACCACCCUAGAGAUAGGGCUUUCCCCUUCGGGGGACAAAGUGACAGGUGGUGCAUGGUUGUCGUCAGCUCGUGUCGUGAGAUGUUGGGUUAAGUCCCGCAACGAGCGCAACCCUUAAUCUUAGUUGCCAGCAUUUAGUUGGGCACUCUAAGGUGACUGCCGGUGACAAACCGGAGGAAGGUGGGGAUGACGUCAAAUCAUCAUGCCCCUUAUGUCCUGGGCUACACACGUGCUACAAUGGACAGUACAAAGGGCAGCGAAGCCGCGAGGUGGAGCCAAUCCCAUAAAGCUGUUCUCAGUUCGGAUUGCAGGCUGCAACUCGCCUGCAUGAAGCCGGAAUUGCUAGUAAUCGCGGAUCAGCAUGCCGCGGUGAAUACGUUCCCGGGUCUUGUACACACCGCCCGUCACACCACGAGAGUUUGUAACACCCGAAGUCGGUGGGGUAACCUUUUUGGAGCCAGCCGCCUAAGGUGGG
rnacentral:rRNA from 1 species